rnacentral:lncRNA from 1 species
UUUCAAGUACUAGUACAAAUAAAGUACUGUAAAAUACAGGUACCUAAAUAUUACAAUAAUUUUAGAGUAACAAAAUAGUACUGAAUAUUAAAAGCAGAUGUCCAGUACUACAAAUUUUUAGUACAGAAAUAGUACCUAUGCAAAAGUAGCUGUGUAUAAAGGGACCACGAGUGCAAAACAAUCCAAACAACAACCAAAAAAAAAAAAAAAAAACAACAACGGCUUUAUUUUAUAUACUCAAGGAGAAGAAAUUUAUCCAAUAAAUAAAAAAAAAUACAAUAGGUUUAGACCCAACGCUGCAAUUUUCACAAAACAUAUCAAAGUUCCCACUUUGUCGCACAUAAACAUGGAUAACACCAUUAAUAAUAAUAAACUUUAUUGCCAAAUAAAAAAAAAUAAACAUGUCUGUGACAAACUGCAGAAAAAAACGAAC